GGCCUCCUACCACCUGAUGCUGAGGCUGGAGCCAGCCUUUUCCACCGCGUGGUAGCUUGUGUGCAGCAGGCGGCUGGCCUGCUCUGAGCCCUCGCCCUGCAGCCAGUGCCCAUACAGCUCCUGGACUCCAGGCGCGUCCUCUGGUGCCUCGGUCCUGACCAUGCUGUAUAGCCUCUCAACCUGCUGCAGAAGCUCCUUGCCAGGCAUGUCAGGGGCCUUGAGCUGGCCUCCACCAUUCAAGCAGCCUGUGGCAGAGAAGGACGGGCAGAAGUGUGGUCAAGGGGAGGGUGUCAGCACACGGGGUCCCAGAGGGCCCACUCUGUGUGCAGCUACCUGCAGGGCAGGCCAUGACCUCCACAUAGUGGUAUGGGCAGCGCCCUCGCUUGAGCUUUUGUACCAGGUUCUGGAUGUUGCGGAAGCCGUAGGCCGCGGCGAAGUGCAGCAGGACCUGGCCCUCCCUCUCCAGAGUCACCUCUUGGAGGUCCUUGUUCCUGAGGGCACACAGAGCAGGCUGUCCACACGGCACGCCCAGGCUUCCUCCCAGGUGACUUCAGUGACGUGGAUUCCAAAGAGCUCCUGGGCUGCAUGCCGGAACACGUGCUCCAGGCUGCCUCGUGAACUCAACCACCUCUGGACACCAACACAUACCACGGGGCAGAUGCAAAACCAACCAGAAGGAAGCUGAGGCAGAGAAGAGGGGCGAGGACAGUGCCUGCCCCCGCCUCGUCCCUUCUGCUGCCCACCAGGACACCUCUGACCCCAAGGUCAAGAGCACCCCAAUGCUGGACAAGCUUACUGCCCCUGACAUGGCAGGCACGACGUACAGACUGUCCAGGGGAGCCGACUCCAGCUCUGACAGCGAGACCCCUUCUUCUUCCAGCAGCUUGAAGACUUCUCCUACGAUGAGACCACAGCACAGACAGACGCUCUUCAGCUGAAUCUCAACAAAAACAGAGACCAUGAAAGGUCCCCACCACCUGCAUCCCUAGCAACCUGUGAGUGGCCAGACGUCCAGCCCCUGCUCGUGAGUGGGGGAUGAACCCAGCCAGAGGCAACUCCACUUCUGAAGGGCCUCCCGGUGCUGUGGUGGGGCAGACGCGCCUGACCCUGGGGUGCCUCGCAAUGCGCCUGGAGUGGGCAGGGCACUGCGUCCCUGGACAGCGACCCUUCCUGGAUCGUCUGCCUCCCGGGUGGGCAUUCAUUUUUCUUUUAAGCAUUUGGAAGCCUCUGCAAGGCUGCUCAACUCACAGACGGGGUGACCAACAUGAGCCAGGGGGAUUGUGCUGGGCCUUAUGCUGGGGACACAGCGCCAGCAGGCUCGGGGCCCCGCACCUGUUGUGAUGACACAAUCCACAUCGCGUGUCUGGUGCUCUUGGCUGAAGAAGUCGGGUCUGGAGGCUUCCAGCUUUUUGUCGUAGCAGGGCAUCACCGUCACGUGGUAGAUCUUGUCGGGGGUCAAAUGCUGCGUGGAGAACACGGCAGUGGUGCAGCUGCCUGGCCCCAGCAGCAAAGGCUGAGGCGGGGGUGACAGCACAGGCACGGCUGGGAGCACAGUUCUGUGUGUGGGUCCUGACCACUGCAGUCUUGGCUCAUUUUGUAAGAUGUCCCUGUUACCUGCUGCUGGGAGAAGAAGUCCUUGACCAGGGAGCCCAUGACCUGCUGCGGGGACCGGGCGGUGCUGAUGUAGGGGAGGAGGACGUUCCCGUGGGUCUUCUCGGCGUAGCAGAUCCAGCCUGAGGCCGACACAGGGUGGGGGUGGUGGGGGAAGCGAGCAGGGCAGGGGUGUGACUUUCUGGGGUGGACCGACUUGUACAGGAGUUAGGAGCUCACUAAGCCCCCACUGUGCUGUUGCCGAUACGUAUCUCAGGUGUCCCUAUGAUCACCCCUCUGGGAACUGAAGCGACUACAGGUGACCCUCAGGCAGUGCCUGCUGACGAGCCCCUCCCCCAGCACUCCCGUCACCCAUGUCCAGCUGUUGACAUCGGUCCGCAGCAUCAGCAUACCUGGGCAGGCGGAAGUCAGCACAGGCAAGGCCUGCUUGGAAUCGGCUUGUGCUCGGAAUCGCCGCACGAACUCCCACUGGCUCUCGAGGAGGCUGAAGUUCCUCGAGAAGGCGGUAUCAAACACGUAGUGUGCCCCUGCAAGGGAGCACCCACCUCACCCCAAGAAGGAUGGCCACAGCCCCAGGCGCUGCCCACCUCGCCCCGGGAGCAGGGCUCUGCCUUCCCGUGGGGCGUCACAUGACACGCUGGUGUGCAUGCAGACAGCCCGGUGUCCUUGGGCUUUCCUUCCUUUGAGCUCGGUGGCUGCCAGGGACCAGGCCAAACUCUGCAUGCUGCCUAGGGCAGCCGCCGGCACCGGGGCUCACCCCACGUCCUCCCAGCCCUACUCCCAGCACGCAGAGGUCGACCAGCUGAUCUGAGCCAGAACCCAACUCAGACUUGGGAGGUGUGCCUUGAUGGUGAUAGUUUAAAAACAAUAUUAGGAGUGGGUAAAUUCCAGACUCGGGGAAGUGCAACAUCAGAAUUCAGACAGCUUUCUAUUAAAAGGCACUGCUCUCUGUAUCAAAACAGAACUUCAAGUUGAAGUCAACCUCAGAUAGAGUUCCUGAUGUGUUUAAGCCCAGUGAUAGUGGGGCAUGACGAGCCCCUCGCCAGCUCUCGUGUCCAAGCUGGAGCUCACCCAAGGUUCAGCACCUACCUAUUUUUUUAAAGAACGCAGUUAAUUUCCUGGCAGUGUCUGUAGGAUUCAGCUGAAAUCUCACAGCCAGCGAUGCUCUGGACUGGGGAGAGACCGAGAUGACAACCAGCCUCUGCUGAUCGGGCGCCACCAUCUGCAAAGCAAGGGACCUGCUGCUCACUCUGUGUGUUUAACAGAUUCCAAGCCUAACUCCAUCAGGCAUGUCAUUUUUGCAAACACGUAGAACCUAAAGUUUAGGGUUAACACUUCAAUGUCAAAAUACAAGUAAUUGACUGAGAUCCCACCGAUGAGACCUAAAAACGUCAGGAGUCACUAGGAGACAUAGGACAAAGGGCACCAGAAGAUGAGCUGCCCCGACAACACGAGUGAGGGAUGCUGGGGUUGAUGUCGGGUUAGAGUGGCAUUCCAAAGACUGUCCCACCGCUCACCUUAUUAGCACCUAGAACCUUCCGCAGCUCCUCGUGGCUCUGCUGAGUGAUGAGCACGGUCUCUGCCGAAGUGACGCAGCCACUGCACGCCAGGCAGUCGUCCAGCGAGAUCUUGGCCCUCUCCAGCUUCUUUGUCCCUCCAUCCUGGAAGCACAAGAACCUGGUACCCCAAGGGCCCUCCGCAUGAGGACGUGGAGCUCUCAGAUGAUGGGACCCACAGGAAACCUUCAUUCUCCGUCUCACAACACUGACAACCAACUACUGGCUUUAUGUGCUGUAAGUUCUUAGAAAUUAAAUAUUUAUUGCAGAAACACGUAUACACGUUCUACAUUUUCAUAGUGGCACCAAAUUCUAAUUUCGGUACAAACUUGGCUGCACGUCAGAUCAUACUGAAGAGGCUUGCUGCCCGCCAGGGGUGGGAGACGGGCAUUAAACCUGCAAAGGAGCAGCUGACUCAUCACAGAGGCCCUGGACAGUCAUUGGUCCCCAGGCUGCCCUCACGGGGCUGUGGGGACAGGAAAAUGCCCAAGGCCAGGCUCUAAAUGGAGGAGGAAGAGAAAGGCAAGGGCAAAGAUUAAGGAAAAAAGGACAGAGGGACAAGGAAAGGGGCAGAGGGAGGAGAUGGCAGGAGCCUGUGCCCACCUGGGCUGUGCCUGCCCAGUGCCAACACAUGGAAGAGUGGGUGAGGGACACAAGGGGCAGUCACACUGUCAGACUCGGCCAGACAGUUGCAGAACUUGGUGUUCAAGCCAGCUUCCAGGCUGGGCAACUCUUCUUAGCUGCAAAUGAUCCCAGUAGAGCCCCUUCACUCCCUCUGCACACACAGGAGUGGUCUGAGCCAGGGCCAGGCGAGCUUCAGGGGCCCAGAGUGUGACCAGGGGGCUGACAAGACAGGAACUCCCUUCCAGCCCAGAUCACUAGGCCUUACUUAGCACCAAAGCCACAAUUUGAGCUCAGUGCAUUUUCCCAGGUUGGACUGGUCUCAAGGACAGGCUGUGAUGCUGUGCUGAGCAGGGGGCUGAUGUGCUUCCGACUUCCCUCCAGAUCAACCACUGCUGCUCUGGAGCAGCGCCCACUUGGUCCCUAAAAAGGACCCAGUCUUCCGUGCUGUGCUGGGCUUAGGCGGGACCCGUGGUGUGCUGCUGCGUUACCCUCCUGGGCUGAGUGAACAGUGGCUCUCUCCUUGUGAACUCUGGAUCCUGUUGUCUGGCCCUACCGUGAACCAUCCUGUGGCUCCUCCCCUGCUUGGGCAGGAUUCCUGGGCCAGCGUGCCUGGUGGUGCCUGCGGUCCCUGGGACAGCACAGAUGUUCUUGAGAGUCCAAAUGGCAAACAGUCGGGGUAAAUUUUAACGCCAUUGGAUUAGGAUCUCGUCAUUGCUAAAUUACACAGGAAGUAGGUGUUCCCUAAGAACAAGUGGUCUGGACUAGAAAAUCUUACACAAUUACAACUCAGAGAGAGAAGAGAGAGGGAGGGGAUGCGGGAACUGCCAUCUCUGCAAAGAGCUCUCUGCAGAACAUAUCUGAGAAAGGAUUGGUGAGACGUGCAAGGUCCUGUGCCCCCUGCAUUUGUCACUCGACGGAGCAGUGAAACGUGCUUCAGGCCAACCAAGCUGGCACUUACCUGACUGACUUGGAAGUAACUCCCGUCAUCUUCGACGUGGAUCUUGGCUACGCCACUUCCCGGCCUCUUAUCCACCCUCAUGGGCUUGAUGCAAUCCUAUACCAGUAAGAAACCCCAACGGGCACCUGAGUGCACAGAGGCGGAAGAAGAGGGGCAGCCUGAUGGCCACACCACCACCUGGGACGAAAACUGUGCCCUGAUUCCGGUCUUCCUGCACCAGAAGCACUCUUAGCGCUAUGGAUUUUGUCACUACCUUCCCUACUCACUCACGCUUGGUCAGACACUCUGUCCGACCAAGAGUCGCUCUGCAGGUCACAGUCAGAUGGAGGCGGUGCUGACUGGGCCUGCACGCUAACCUGUCUGCAGACAGCACCAACCCCCGCCCUCACCUUCCUCAGCGUAAACGUCUGGCGGGGCACCGUGGCCAGUUUUUCAUCGACUGCUGGGAAGAAGCCAAGGGGUCGCUAGGAACGCUUGGCCCCGCCCAGUUCCUGGAAGAAAGUUCCUUUCUUUGCCCAACUCCUGGAGUUCUCGCGGUCUCUCUCAACAGGAGCACCUCACUGGCCAUCGCAUUCCCAAAGGGAACUAG